rnacentral:rRNA from 1 species
CACGAGUUCAGACUCGUGGCGAAUAGCUCAGUAACACGUGGCCAAACUACCCUUCGGAGCUCCAUACCCUCGGGAAACUGAGGCUAAUAGAGCAUCCCACAAUCCAGCUGGAAUGAGGAUUGUGCCAAACGCUCCGGCGCCGAAGGAUGUGGCUGCGGCCGAUUAGGUAGACGGUGGGGUAACGGCCCACCGUGCCAAUAAUCGGUACGGGUCAUGAGAGUGAGAACCCGGAGACGGAAUCUGAGACAAGAUUCCGGGCCCUACGGGGCGCAGCAGGCGCGAAACCUUUACACUGCACGCCAGUGCGAUAAGGGGAUUCCAAGUGCGCAGGCAUAGAGCCUGCGCUUUUGUACACCGUAGGGAGGUGUACGAAUAAGGGCUGGGCAAGACCGGUGCCAGCCGCCGCGGUAAUACCGGCAGCCCGAGUGAUGGCCGAUUUUAUUGGGCCUAAAGCGUCCGUAGCUGGCCGCACAAGUCCAUCGGAAAAUCCACCCACUCAACGGGUGGGCGUCCGGUGGAAACUGUGUGGCUUGGGACCGGAAGGCGCGACGGGUACGUCCGGGGUA